AGAUUGGCAAAGAAAUAUAUUGGGAAGGCUCAGGUGUGGAUGAAGUAGCCAAGGAAAAGGGUACAGACAUUGUCCGAGUGACAAUCAACCCCAAGUACUAUCGCCCAGCUGAAGUGGAUGAGUCGAAGGUGCAAAAUAAACAAGAUGGACAGUCGGCACCACUUCAAACUCCUCCACUGCCUCCACCACUUCCUCAACCACUGCGAGUCCCUACUACCCUCCCUCUGACCCCCGCAACUGGCAGCCAGCCCUCCCACCACUCAGUGUGG